rnacentral:rRNA from 1 species
AUUGAACGCUGGCGGCAUGCUUACACAUGCAAGUCGAACGGCAGCACGGGAGCAAUCCUGGUGGCGAGUGGCGAACGGGUGAGUAAUACAUCGGAACGUGCCCAAUCGUGGGGGAUAACGCAGCGAAAGCUGUGCUAAUACCGCAUGAGAUCUACGGAUGAAAGCAGGGGACCGCAAGGCCUUGCGCGAAUGGAGCGGCCGAUGGCAGAUUAGGUAGUUGGUGAGGUAAAGGCUCACCAAGCCUGCGAUCUGUAGCUGGUCUGAGAGGACGACCAGCCACACUGGGACUGAGACACAGCCCAGACUCCUACGGGAGGCAGCAGUGGGGAAUUUUGGACAAUGGGCGCAAGCCUGAUCCAGCCAUGCCGCGUGCAGGAUGAAGGCCUUCGGGUUGUAAACUGCUUUUGUACGGAACGAAAAGGCUUUCUCUAAUAAAGGGGGCUCAUGACGGUACCGUAAGAAUAAGCACCGGCUAACUACGUGCCAGCAGCCGCGGUAAUACGUAGGGUGCAAGCGUUAAUCGGAAUUACUGGGCGUAAAGCGUGCGCAGGCGGUGAUGUAAGACAGCUGUGAAAUCCCCGGGCUCAACCUGGGAACUGCAUCUGUGACUGCAUCGCUGGAGUGCGGCAGAGGGGGAUGGAAUUCCGCGUGUACCAGUGAAAUGCGUAGAUAUGCGGAGGAACACCGAUGGCGAAGGCAAUCCCCUGGGCCUGCACUGACGCUCAUGCACGAAAGCGUGGGGAGCAAACAGGAUAAUCCCGCGGCCAUGGCGGCCGGGAGCAUGCGACGUCGGGCCUC